UACAAAGUUAAAUUUAUGCCCGUGUAGUGACUCUGUACCUUCUUUCCAGCCUAGGCCAGGGGCUGUCAAACUCAGUCCUGGAAGACGUUCUGUGCUUGCUGCGUCUCUUCAGUUAAGGUUGCACGUCCAGAAAAUGAAAAUAACGUCUGACAAGCUAUGCCUGCAAAUGGACAGAAAUCUUCUGGCCUCAUCCUGGGAUGCUGCAGUCAUCUGCUGUCUACAAAGCAAAACAGACAAAAUUACCAACAGUGAAUACGUAUGAUAAAUGCAUGAGGACCGAACCAGCUCCCAUCAAAGUGCUGGACCAUGGUAAAGGAAGUGUUAUAAAAUUCCAUUCCUUUCCAUUCCAUGUUUUGGAAUUUUUGUAUCGCUUUUCCCAUAAUGACAGGGUUCGAUAGGGGCUGAAGACUUACCUAGUUCAUUUGUUAUUGUGGAGUCGCAGUCUUUAAUUUUAAUUUUCCCUCUUAAUUAUGGCACUCUAUUCUUUGUGGCUUUUUUUACUAUGCAUUCGUUCCUUGCUUUUAUUUGUUUCAUUCAUUUUUUUUAAAUGUCAGCUUUGUACAUUGGCAAAAAGACUGAAAUGAGUAGAUAUAAUUAUGAGGAUGAUGAUGAUGAUAAUAAUGAUAAUAAUAAUGUAUGCAAUACAUGCAGAGCCACUAUGAAGAAUACAUUGAAAUACAUUUAGUGAAACCUGCCGAUAAUGAUAAAAACAAAGAACUUGUUCAGUGCUGGUAAUUCAGGAAUGCUGAAAGUGCUGAGAGAGUUUACAGUUGUUUUUCAGGAGACACACAAGAACAGCAUUAAAAAGACAGAAUGAAAACUUGUAGAGAGACCUCAACAGAUCAUUGUAUUCAACCAAAAAAAUAAAACCCCACCGCUUACGGAAUGGACUUGUGAUCUUUUCCUGUCUGGGUGGGGAAAUUUGGUGCAGAUUUAUUUCAUGAUAUAUAACAGCGAGGAACAGUAUCUUAAUAUAAGUAACCGGAAACAACCAGUUGUAAUGUGGCCAUGAUAUGUGCAGUGCUCUCCGGCUGCAUCUGAAACACUUAGUAUCUAAAUUUUGGAACAAGGUGCUUUUCCAGUGUAAUCAGGGUCUUUCCAGAUUCUUCGCGUAAUACCUCAUGCUCUGGACACCUGUUAUCUGCUAGCGACAGUUGCUAAGCCCUGCCGCACAGUGACCGAAACUGCCCACCUGAUGCACAGCGGCGCGGAAUAUAGUGGCGGCUGGAUGAACUCAUUUCAGUAGACGUGCCCCCCUGACAGGAAGGCACGCUUUUUUGGUUCUUAGAUCGAAAGAUAGUUCAUCAAUGAGUAAAAUUAUUUUUUUUCUUUUCACUGUCGGCACCAAAACAGCAAAGAUUGACACUGACAUACCAACACGGCAACAUAGCAGAAACAUUUAGUGAAGACAGUGAACUGAUGCCACACUGAAAUCACAGUGGGAGAGAAGUGUUUAUGUAUGGCAGAGGGUACAAAACAGUAUAAUUUUGCGGAAUUGGUUUUGGAUUUGAGUCAUUGGAUCAUGUGACUUGGAAGCUAUUGAAAAAUAUGUUUGUUUUUUUUUGCUAUUUAUUUGCAGUACUUAACCAAGCGCCCCCGCCACUGCCAGCGCUGAAGCGUUGUUAGCUAGCCCAUCAUCGAACUACUAAAUUGGCUGCGAUAAUUAAUGCACCACCGAGUUCGAAAUGUCUACUCGAAUGUCCAACUUCAAGCUGAUUUCGCCGCGGUGAAAUGCCGAAAUAUCUCAAGUACGAUCGUUUCGCGAUUUAGCAUAAGAACCACGUAAAAUAAUCCUUCAUAUUUAGUCGCAAUUGUAAAUCUUUUGUAAUUAUGUGCGCUCGCUCAAUGUACACAGGUUUACGUAUGACCGAUGACGUUUGUACUGAUUUGGACACGAUUUUUGCAAUGAUCUUGACAAACGCUCAAGCGGAACUCUCUUCCACAAUGUUGACAGUUACCAUAAAUAAUUAUUAUUGUUGACGCUCUAUUGGCCGUCCACGUAAAAAAAAAAAAAAAAAAAGCCACAGAAAAUGAUGGUAGAGCGCUACAGUUAAUUUGUCCAUUUUGCGCGACGCUGAAAAAAUUACCUCAAAUUAUAAUCAUUACGUGUUAGCGUGUAGCCCCCCAGGUGGGUAUAAUCGUUAUGUGUAGCACCCCAGGUGGGUGCUACACAUUGGUGGUGGGUGAGGUGAGUUCCCCUUCAUCACUGUAAAGCACUUUGAGCGUUCGGAAAAGUGCUAUAUUAAAUGCAAUGAUUCAUUCAUUAAUUCAUUACAAUUUUAGGAAUUCUUAUUAUGGUUUAACCAGCCUAUAGUUAGGUUUACAUCAUCUACAGUAGUGCAAAAAUAUAUAUAUUUUACCAAGAAUGACUGAACCAAUUAUUUUCAGCAGGCUAUUUAAGGGCGUAUAUGGUUUUAUUGCAUGAAAAUAUGUGUACAACUUUGCAAAAGAAUCGUUUAAUACAAAGGAAAGUGUUGGCUGCGUACAAAAAGCGUGGACAUCAGACUACAGAGCAUAAAUGUUACACAAUUUCCUUGAAAUGAAAUCAUAUUUAGAAUAUGUUCUUAUUUAAAACAAUGUAUAGUUGCAAGUUAAAGAAAAUACCUGCGAUCUAUACCGGUGCUAAAAUGGCACAUGUCCUGUUAAAAUCUGUCAACAGCUGUAUCUCUGAAAAGAAAUAAAACGGCAUGGGAAUACGAAAAUGAGAAAUCUUAGCUGUCGGAUAUAAUUUCAUACGCCGCAGCGCGAGCCGGGGCUUAAAGGCCAGGCUUACCUUCGUAGGGUGAUCUCUGUUUACGGCAGUAGAGCAGCUGUGUGCGCGCGUGCGUGCGGGUUGAGUUCUAUCUAUUCACUUGAACGUUAAUGAGAGACAUGCACCUGCUUUUCCUUGUAGAUUUCGCUCUCUCCUGCUUUCUUUCUUAUAGUGAAAAGAACAGUGACACGCAUAGUAAGUGUUCCCCUAUUUGUUGUUUUUGUGGUUUCUUCACUGUGUGAUUUAUGGAGUCAGCACUCAAGAUAUAUCGCAGGGUGGAGACCUGAAACGUUUUGCCCAACGGAGAUGCGAUUGGGUGUGACUUGUUGGCAUAGAUUUCUUUUUUUUUUUUUAAAUGUCUUUGUGGGUUUGAGUUACUGUGCAGAUAUGGUACAGCAAAGUAUUUAGAAGAUAGGUGACAGCAGUUUUGGAAGGUUAGCAAAAGGCACUAGAAUAUGGCGUUUUCAGUCUACUUUAGUGCAAUGUUUUGUACAUAAUAAUAAUAAUCAUAAUAAUAAUGUUUAAUUUCACUGUGACACCUUUGACAGAGAACACACAAUGACCUGAACUGAUUACAUUUGAACAACUAGGCUUACUUAGGACAAAAUAGUGCCUUUUAGAACAUGGUCAUCCUCCAAAACUAGUAAUACAUUUUAAAAAUGUGUCUUUUUGAUGUGAUUUAAUUGCACAACAAAUUUAUCGCCAAUUUAUAUAUGUAGCUCCAACAAGAAUUGACUGGUUGAAAUUAAAUAAAACCACAUACAUCCAACAUAUUUGAAGUACAGAGCUGUUAGCAUAAAAUGGAUGAUUUGGCCUACUGAAAUUCAAGCAGGUUAUCUAGUCAUUAUGAACCAAAACAAUUACUGAGUGCUCAUAUUUAGAAAAAAAAGUAUAAGAAAAGAUCAUCAAGCUCCAGAGACCAAGAAAGACAACAAGGUGCUCAUUGAACCAAAGGGCAAAGACCAAGGGAGUGUCGGCAGUGCAGUACAAUGGGUAAGGAACUGGUCUUGUAACCUAAUGGGCACAGGUUCGCUUCCUGGGUCGUUCACUGCUGUUGCUUCAGUAUACACUCACCGGCCACUACAUUAGGUACACCUUUUCAACUGCAAACUGCACCCGUUAAUGCAAAUAUGCAAAGUUCAGACCAAGCAUCAGAAUGGGGAAGAAAUGUGAUUUAAGUGACUUUGAACGAGGCAUGGUUGUUGGUGCCAGACGGGCUGGUUUGAGUAAUUCAGAAACUGCUGAUCUACUGGGAUUUUCAUGCACAACCAUCUCUAGGGUUUACAGAGAAUGGUCUGAAAAAGAGAAAAUAUCCAGUGAGCGGCAGUUCUCUGGGCGAAAAUGCCUUGUUGAUGGCAGAGGUCAGAGGAGAAUGGCCAUACUGGUUCGAGCUGAUAGAAAGGCAACAGUAACUCAAAUAACCACUCGUUACAACCAAGGUAUGCAGAAGAGCAUCUCUGAACACACACCACGUCAAACCUUGAAGCAGAUGGGCUACAGCAGCAGAAGACCAGACCGGGUACCACUCCUGUCACCUAAUGAAGUGGCCGGUGAGUGUAUAUCUAUCUGUAUAAAUGGAUGCAAUGUAAAUGCUAUGCUAUGUUUAUAAAAAAAUAAAAAAAUGUAAAAAAGUCUAAUAAGAGCGUCUGAUAAAUGCUUGUAAUGUGAUGUGUGUUCUCCAUUUUCUCCUCUCUCCUCAGCACUCCUCCUUCCCCACCUCAGUCCUCCCUCGCUGCAGAUGACUUCGCAGUUUUCUUCGAUGAGAAAAUUGCAGACAUCCGCAGCUCCUUCACGUCCACCGCCACCCUUCCCCACUCUCCUGUCUCUGUUCCCUCCCCUUGUUUCUCCACUUUCUCUCCCCUCACUGACUCUGAUGUUUCCCAGCUCCUACUCUCCCACCGCCCUACCACCGCUCUUGACCCCAUCCCUUCCUCUCUCCUCCAGACUUUCACACCUGACAUCCUCCCGUUUGUCACCUCCCUUGUGAACUCCUCCUUGUCUUCUGGAUGUUUCCCCUCUUCCUUCAAGCUGGCCCACAUCACCCCACUGCUGAAAAAGCCCACUCUGGAUCCCUCUGUCAUUCAGAACUACCGUCCUGUUUCCCUUCUCCCUUUCCUAUCCAAAACAAUUGAACGAGCUGCUUCUAACCAACUCUCCUCUUUUCUCUUACUAAACAACCUCCUGGACCCCCACCAGUCCGGCUUCAGACCUGGCCACUCAACAGAGACCGCACUCAUCUCGGUCAGUGAGUCGCUACACGCCGCACAAGCAGCCUCCCAUUCAUCUGUCCUGAUCCUCCUAGACCUUUCUGCUGCCUUCGACACAGUCAACCACCCCAUCCUCCUGUCCUCCCUGGCAGCUAUGGGGAUCUGUGGCACAGCACUAGACUGGAUCGAGUCCUUCCAAGUCGCCUGGGCUGGUGCAGUAUCGGCACCUCGCCCCCUUGCCACAGGAGUUCCCCAGGGCUCAGUCCUUGGUCCCCUCCUAUUCUCCUUGUACACCCAAUCUCUUGGUCCUGUAAUCUCUGCCCAUGGGUUGUCCUAUCAUUGUUAUGGCGAUGACACCCAACUCUUCCUCUCCUUCCCCCCCUCUGACACACAGGUCUCCGCUCGCAUCUCUGCUUGCCUGAGGGACAUCCAGAGCUGGAUGGAUAACCACCAUCUUAAGCUGAACCCAGGUAAGACAGAGAUGAUCUUCAUCCCUGCUCCAUCCUCUAACCUCCUUGACUUUCCAUUUCCUAGGGUGAAGCACCGUGGGGUGUUCAUCAUCACCCACCGCAAAAAACCUUGGAGUGGUGAUGGACAACAGACUGUCCCUCUCCCAGAACAUCACGGCGGUGAGUCGAACGUGCAGGUUCUUCCUGUAUAACAUCCGGAGAAUCCGCCCCUUCCUCACCACCUACGCAACCCAGCUCCUGGUUCAAGCGAUGGUCCUGUCCCGCCUGGACUACUGCAACUCGCUGCUGGCUGGUCUGCCAGCAUCCGCCAUCAGACCCCAGCAGCUCAUCCAGAAUGCUUCAGCGCGUCUGGUCUACAACCUCCCCAGACAUUCCCAUGUCACCUCCCUGCUCACUGACCUCCACUGGCUGCCUGUUAUGGCUCGCAUCAAAUUUAAGACGUUGGUGCUUGCAUACCAGGCAGUUAAGGGGUCAGCACCAGGAUGCAUCCAGAGGAUCAUCAGACCCUACACACCAGCCACACCUCUCCGUUCUGCCACCUCUGGACGCUUGGCACCUCCCCCUCUUCGCGUCUGUACUUCCCGCUCCCGUCUGCUGUCUGUCCUGGCCCCUCGCUGGUGAAAUGACCUCCCCAUGGCGGUCAGAACAGCAGAGAAUCUGACUACCUUCAAACGCAGACUAAAGACUCAUCUCUUCAGGCCGCACCUCUCCCCACCCCUCCCUAGCCUAUAGUUUAGUUCAAAUGUACCUAGUUAGGAUAAUAAGAUUGUUAGUUUUUAUUUGGCAGGAUUGUUUUUGUUUUUUGUCUGAUUCUGAUUAGAGAAGGAAAAAAUACCAUAUUUAGAAAAUAACUACCAUGAAUUCAGUGAAAAUG